rnacentral:lncRNA from 1 species
CCUGGCCAGGGGCUGCCAUCGCUGGGGUCACCUGCCAGCCCCAUAGCGAGGAUGGGGGACUGCCUUGCCCUUUGAGGUCCUUUUGGGCCUUGGGCCCAGCUGUGGGGCACAGUAGCACACCAAGCCACGCACCUACCCCAUUCCAGACAGUGGCAGCUGCCCUCCUCCCAGGCAGAUCUGGGCUGGGGGUCGGGAUACCCAGA